rnacentral:rRNA from 1 species
UGGGGAAUUUUGGACAAUGGGCGAAAGCCUGAUCCAGCAAUGCCGCGUGUGUGAAGAAGGCCUUCGGGUUGUAAAGCACUUUUGUCCGGAAAGAAAUCCUUGGCUCUAAUACAGUCGAGGGAUGACGGUACCGGAAGAAUAAGCACCGGCUAACUACGUGCCAGCAGCCGCGGUAAUACGUAGGGUGCAAGCGUUAAUCGGAAUUACUGGGCGUAAAGCGUGCGCAGGCGGUUUGCUAAGACCGAUGUGAAAUCCCCGGGCUCAACCUGGGAACUGCAUUGGUGACUGGCAGGCUAGAGUAUGGCAGAGGGGGGUAGAAUUCCACGUGUAGCAGUGAAAUGCGUAGAGAUGUGGAGGAAUACCGAUGGCGAAGGCAGCCCCCUGGGCCAAAUACUGACGCUCAUGCACGAAAGCGUGGGGAGCAAACAGGAUUAGAUACCCUGGUAGUCCACGCCCUAAACGAUGUCAACUAGUUGUUGGGGAUUCAUUUCCUUAGUAACGUAGCUAACGCGUGAAGUUGACCGCCUGGGGAGUACGGUCGCAAGAUUAAAACUCAAAUGAAUUGACGGGGUCAUAGCUGUUUCCU